rnacentral:lncRNA from 1 species
GCUUUUGAAGUGUCUUUCUUAUGUAGGGAUAGAAUAAGCCUCAACCUUUCAUACCAUUAAGUAUUGAAAAAAGAGUUACUGCCAUUACAUUGGCGUUGCGUGGGCGCAUAGCUACACUUAGCUUUACAACUUUUCAUAGCGAAUGAGAUGUCAAGUCUUUCAUAUUGUGUUGAGUACAUUGAUGCGUCUAAUUGUACUUAGAUGGGAACUCCAUCUCUUAACACAUAUUUGUCAUCUUAUCUCUUAACACAUAUUUGUCAUCUUGCUUUAGACAAAACAACGGAUCUCUCUUUAGAGCAAAGACCUUAACUAAUCAUGGGAGUAUAUGUAGGCCGCACUAGUUAUAGAGUGCCUAAGCCGAUUGAUGGAAAAUCAUCAUCAAUACAGUCAUCGAGUGCCUUAUCGAGACCAUGUCUUCCCAAGAUCUUUUUCUUCGGAUGUUGAUACAUAUUGGCAUCUCUUGAUCCAUCAAGGGUCCAUGUAAAUCCGGAAUGAACACGCAAAGGCAUAAUUCACCAUAUCCCUUCCAAAUCAAGUAGAGUCCAUGUGCGUUUCAAUACAUUUAGCAAACGCAUUCUCCUGUGGUUUGGAGCCACUUGAUUCGGAUGAAUGAAGUCCGUUUAAGAUCUUCAUGUAUAUCUCUGAUCCCAUAGAGAUGUUAUUAUGACCACAUUCAUAGGCUGCAUGUUCAGUUAUUCGGAAACUACCAAACUGACAAAGUAGUGGAGUUCAAUGACAUUCAUUACGAGAGCAUAUCUCAUCGUAGUUGAUCCCAGUGCGUGUUAGUGAAAGACCUUGCGCCAUAAGGUGAGUCUAAGCUCUUACUCUCACUACGCUAUCUAACAAAGGCAUAGUUGAUAGGGUUUAGCUUGCGGUGUCGGCAUCACCUGCCCAAGGACCUAUCUCUUUGUUAAUGCUGGAUCGCAUCUUUCCAUUAGGCCAAUCAACUAAGUUGAUAUCCAUCAACGAAGGGUGGUUCGAUAGUAGACUCAUUAUCUCACGUCCUCAUGUACACUAGUGUAA